ACCGCUGUCUCCCCAUUCGGGUACAAUCCUGGCUUCUAUGUGUUUAGCGACUGGAUGAGCUGAAUGCAGAAAACUGAAGCCGUCAAAACUAUACUGUGUGAAAUAUCUCUUGGUCUCCGGAAAAAGAUAUUUCUUCUUUUGCUGAUGGCUAAUAAUUACAUGACAAAAAUGGCAUUAGAGGACGACAGAAACAAAUUGUUGCUACGCUUUGUAAUGUUGCCUGAUAGACGUGAAGUUUAUGAACCUCUUUAGCAAAUGGAUUUGCAAACAACAUCUGGGAGAGAAGAAUUUCAUCAAGAUUGAUUUAUAUGAAAAUACUGGACACUACUGUGAGAACUGAAUUGAAGUUCAUGGCUGCAGUUAUAAUUCAGUGGCGGAGCAGUGGAUUACCCUGUACCUGGCAAAAUGGAGACAGAGACCGUGAGGAGAUACGCCAGCCAGUGAAUCCAGCUGUCUUCCCGGUCUGACCAUGGUGCUGUUGGCUACUGAUGUACAUGCAAUUGUUCUUUUAGGACUCUGUUCAACCCACAGAUGUCUCCACAGCUGCUCUCAAUUCCAAAAGGGAUUUUUUUUUCCUUAGAAGCAGUCAUGUAAGGUUUUUUGUUGUUUUGUUUUGUGUUUAUUUUCUUUGUAUUUAAGUCAUUGUAAAGAUUUUUCCCUCUGUUGGGAGAAGAAAACUAUCUUACCUGAAUGAUGGCCUGAAGAAUUGCAUCAUGAAAGAGCUAAGGAUAAAGCACGGUCUGUGUUUUUCUUCAUUCUUUGAAUCCUGCUAGAUGCUUCCCCUACUGGAGGCCCAAGAACUAUAAUCGCCUAAGAGUUGACUCUCCUGCUCCUAUUUCUAUGACUGUGUUGGUAUGGGGAGACAAGAUAACAACUGUCACAAUUCAUUCAGGGCAGAAAGAAACAAAUCGAUUAAAUAAAUGCCUAGGAUAGGCAAAAUUAUCAACUUGAGAAUAGCCCUCAGGAGGCUUAUGGGAAGCAAAUGAUUCAGACUGCUGCCUAUAUUAUCUGCAUCCCCUAGGUCUUUGAACUUACUAAUUUUCUUUGUGUAGUGGAGAUGACCACAUAAUUCACUAGAGUGAAACUGGGGUUAUGCCCAUUAGGUUUUUGUCUGCAUUACUCUAGAAAUCUCUAAUUAUAUAAUUAUAAGUAAUAUAUAAUUAUAUAAUUAAAAAUAGGGGAAGGCCUUUCCUUCAAAUAUCACCAAUGUAUUUAGCAUCACUGAAUAUUCAAAACUGUAAGUGACCUUACAGACAGCUAGGGUCAUUUCCCCCAUUUUAUAAAUUACACAGUGACAAUCAGGACCCUAACAUGACAGGAAAUAUGGAACCAGUCUGAUGCUCUGGAAAAACUAGUUGCCCAAUAUCCUGAUAAAUAGAUCGCCAGCACCCUAUCCAUUGGCCCUCACUGGCUUAAGCACAUCAAAGUUAAAACUGCUAAAGAUCUCUGAUGUUAGCCCUUUAAAAGAAUGAGGAUUUAUUAUUACCUUCUUUACUUUUUUUGGUGUGUGCGUAUGGUUUCUGUUUGUUUUGGGAAGUGGUCAAAACACUUGUGUAGAUCAUGUGCCUGUACAAUGAAAUAGUCUACUCCUCUGUGGGAAUCAAUGUGAUAGUGAAGGUCUCUAUAAUUCAAAAUCAUAGGCAAAAGGCAUUUUAAAAAUAUAAAAUAAAAUUUGUAAGCCAGUGUUUUAAGAGUGGCUGUGUUGAAUAUUUCAUUCUGUUGGGACAAAAGCAAAAAAAAACAUGCAAAUUCCAGCCCCACAGAGAGCUUAUGCCUCAAUGUCUAAAGGUGGCAUUUAUAUUUCAUGCCAAGGGGCACUAUUGAAAUACUGAGGAUAGGUUAGAGGUACACUUUUAUUAUUAUAAUAAUAAAUAAAAAUACACAUUUUUGUAAGUACAGAAAAUCUCAAUUUAGACAUUCUAGUAUUGUCAGUUAUCCAUCUAUACUGCUGAGAGAUCAUGCAUCAGACUUAUCAAUGGUUCAUUCAGGAACUGUUAUUUCUAAUAUUUCAACUACAAACUUGUCUUUAAACUUAGAUCUUGUAUAAUACAAUUUAAAGUAUUCGAUAAUUUAAAUAGUGUAUGUAGUCUCAUCACAUACUAAGAAAGUUGUUUAUGUUGCUUUUGUUUUUUGUUUGUGGCUGUUGCUGUUAACAUACUAUCAUUUCAUUUGGUUGAGUUUCCUCAUCUGAAAUGACUUGGUUAUAAAGACUUGUGCAUUUUGAUUAGCAAUUUUGUAUAGUUGAUUUUAAGAGGUAGAGUUCCACAGAUGUGAAUAUAUAAUCUUAUAAAUUGAUCUUUCCUUAGGAUGAUAUAUGUUGCACUGAGAAAAAUAAACCAGUACAAUGAUUUUAUACUCCCAAUUAGACAUCGGAAUUAUAUGGUAUCCUUCACAAGGUAGCGUAAAACCAUUUUCGAUAGCUAUUACUCGGCAUGCUCUUUCACCAAGAUUAUUAUUGGAGCAGUUUUGUUAGGAAGCAUUUGUGUAACAUACCAUAUGCUGUAAACUAUUUUUUGAUUUAAACUAUAAGGGCUGAGUUUUCAAAGAGGAGAUUUUGGUGUGCAUAAACUUACACAUGCAAUUGCAUUUUUCCACAAUUACCUAGUCAUGCUAUAGACUGUCAACCACAGAAUUCAUUUGCUUCUUUUUUGAAAGAUUUGCUUUGCUUGCAAAGAUUUAGUUCAGUGACAUAUUUUUCUUCCUUCCUUUUUUUUCAACAAACAAAAGAAAUUUGUGACUGUAUUUCCUUACAUCACAUUUUAUAAAGUGCCAGACCUAAAAAGAUCCUCCUUUUCACUUUACCCUUGAAAAGGCUCCUAUUUCCAUAAAAUAUUCUUCUCUUUAAUUGAACAAUCAACUUUAGAAUGCUUUGCAGAAUUACUUAGAAAAAUAUCAUCAAUCGUUAGUCUUUAUACAUGUUAUAUAAAUUAUAGUAGUAUGUAUAUGUAGUGUAUAAUUUACAGAUGCAGAGAGUACAAAUAAGAAAAUAGCUAUAGUAGCAACCAUAAUAUCUUUUCAUAUUUAAACAUGAAGAAAAUGAGAUAAUAUAUGUACUGAUUUUGUGAAGUUGCAAUUUUCUGAAUUAGGAUAUCACAUUGUUCUUUGCUCUUGUUUGCUAUAGGUUCAUUAAAAGUUAGACAUUCGAGCAUUUCCAUGCCAUUCUUCUUCUUUUUUUUUAAUGACAAAUGCCCCCUCUGCCAACAACAACAACAAAAAUGUGUAACUUGGAUACCAGGUCCUUUUAAUGAAGCUUUUGAGUCUUACAAAAUAUGAUUAAUCUGAUUAGUGAUUCAGCCUCCUUUUAUGCUUACAUUAUCUAACACAAAGAGCCCCCCUACAGGUUAAAGUUUAAAUGUGGAUUACCAGAUAAAGCUAGUCCUGACGAGGUUUCUAUGGUGCAAGGAAAAAUUGGAUUUGCUUUUCACCUCAUCUCAGGCUCUGUCAUCCUGGUUUUUGCCCUGUUCCCUUGUUCACAGCAAGGAUAUUAAUUUUGUAGUAAAAUCUUUAAGCAAUUAUGCAGAUAGCUGUGAAAAAGCAACAUACACACACAAUAAGAGAAGCUUAACUGAAAAAUGGACCCCAGAUAUUCAUUAAAAACAGAUGGCUACAUUGCCAACAGCAUAACUUUGGAUGUUUGGGCUAAGCUGGUAUUAAUCUGCCACAACAGGAAGAGAAGAGGAAAUUGCUGGUGUACAAACUGUGUAUUGUUUCUACUCUUUGCUUACAAAGGAAUACAAUGAUGAUUUAUGGCUGUCUUCUUGAUAAAUGUCCAAAAAUGAAUUCCUUACUCGCAAGCAAAGUAACAUUGUAAUCCUCCUGGCUAUUACUAAAUGCUGAUGCUCAUUUUCAAGACACGAAUAAAAUAUAAAGAAUCGUAUUGGUGAAACAGAUGAAAGGGUUCCAUUUUGAAGUUGAUAUUAAGUAAUUUUGGUUUUAGACCUAUUGAAAUUGGAAAUCUUUUGAUCAGUAACAUUUCAAAGUCAAUAUAAAGCAUAACUUUGCAUUUAUAUAAUAGUUACAUUUCUGCCCAUUUAUUUGGGUUAUUUGCUAAGUGAAAAUUGUAACAUCUUCAGUCUAAACACAGGUAAAGUGAACAAAUUGGGUAAAGUACGGCAGAAAAAUAUUUGCCCAACUCUUCCAAGUAAAAGCACAGAUGAUGAAAGGUGCACUCUAUGCAACUGGGGCAAUUGUAAUAAUGGUAAAUGCAUAAAGUAUAUAUUUAUUCAUUUAUAUAAUUAUCAAAGCAAAUUUAGGUAAGAGUGUUAACACCUAAGACUAUAUAUAUGUCUUAAGUGGUAGAACAGUUACAAUGAAUUUCAACCAACUUUUGUUUGGGAGGAGAAAUUUAUCCAACUAGAGAAACGCUUUUGCGACAGGAAGGCUCAGAUAUUCUACAGGCUGAGUUAUACUCAGUUGGACCGUCCUGCAGACAGCCAGUGAUUGUUGGAUCUAAGGACUAGUUGAAACAUCUUGGCAUUAUUUUACUGCUUCAUCUACAUGUGAAGGCUGAACUGGGUUGAAAAUGGUGGUCGUUACAACUGAAGAGUUUGGGUUUUCCCCCAUUGAGUGCUAACUGUUAUUCCUUUUUAUGUACAUAAUACAUAUUUCUUAUAGAAAAAAUUAAACAGUUUUGCUAAAGAGAAGAAAGUUCGGAUCAUCCGUAAUCCUACCUCCUUGAGAUGACCAAUAUAUGUUUCUAUAUACACAGAUGUGUAUUUUUAAAGAGUUAGGAUCUUACAGGGUAUUUUGAAACCUGCUUCUAGUCUCCUAAUAAUCUAUCUAUCAACUGUCAACUAUAUACAGUUCAAUAUUCUACAACCUUAUUUUACUGAAUCCAUAGCAUUCCAUUGUAUGGAUAAUCCAAAAUUCAUUUUACCAACUCCCUAUUGGUAAUAAAGAGUUUAACAUUUUUGGUAUGAUUAAAAAUACCUCGAAGUUUGUUUAUUUAACUAAAAUUUGUAUACAGUGUGUGUUACCAACGAGUUAACCUUCUGGCAUUGUACCUCUUUUCACAUGUAAAUAAAAACUUGCUUGGGCAAAAGUAUAUGCCUGGAAAGAAGCAAAUUCAACAGGCCCUUUGGAUUAAUUCAUUUUAUUUUUCUUAAAGUGCAUUUACAGUCUGGGUAAAAUAUCUUGUUGCUAAUGGAAGCAAUCACAUUGUGUUAAUAACCCUAAACUAUCUUUUGAAUCUAAUCUAAUUUCCAUCAACUCUGCCUCGUUUUUCAAUCCUCUGUGUUUCAAACAUGCAGAUAGUUUGCUAUGCCUCCAGUGUACUAUCCUUAAAAACCAGCAGACUUUUAAAAAUGCAGUUCCUUAAAAAACGUUGAAAAUAAAUAAAUAAAUAAAUAAAUA